rnacentral:lncRNA from 1 species
AUUUUCGUGACUUCUGGGCCUUCUGGGCCUCGUGCGACCGGCGGCGCCCCCCUGGUUGAACCCGGGGUUGACCGGAAACCCGAGGUGAUGCGCUUCUGACUGCCACGUGGCAUUCCAGGGUUAGUGGCCCGAUUAGACUCCUGAUGACUUGACUUGGCUUCUGAUCUCGAUUCGUGCAAAUCCUUUGCGUAGAGGUGUUCUUGGCGACUAAAUCCGUCGGAAUACUGGCAAUGGUAAUGCAGUACGUUGAUUCGAGCUGACGAGCGAGAAAC